CAAAUACUCCCUCCGUCCGAAAAUACUUGUCGGCGAAAUGAAUGUUUCUAUACAUAUUUUAGUUCUGGAUAGAUCCAUUUUUAUCCAUUUCUCCGACAAGUAUUUCCGGACAGAGGGAGUACAUC
rfam:Hordeum vulgare subsp. vulgare, WGS project CAJW01000000 data, contig: morex_contig_56788